AUACUUACCUGGCAGGGGAGACACCUUGAUCAUGAAGGAGUUUUUCCCAGGGUGAGGCUCAGCCAUUGCACUCCAGCUGUGCUGACCCCUGCAAUUUCCCCAAAUGUGGGAAACUCGACUGCAUAAUUUGUGACAGUGGGGGACUGCGUGCGUGCUUAAA
rnacentral:snRNA from 1 species